UUUAACUUAACACACGGGAGAUCUGCACAAUUUCUUGUACAAGUCAUGUCAAGCUACAAACAGUCAAAUGACAAACUGUAAAACUGAGUAAUAAAGAUUUUUCUUCAGCGCAAAGGCCAUUCAAGUCAAGGAUGGUUGUUCUUAUUUCUAAUCACUGUUUAUUUUGAGGUCCACUUCCUUGUUGAGGAUGGCGCUCUCAUGAACAAGCAGACAUGAAUGCUCCUUGUUCCACCAGGUGUAGACAGUUUGGCCUGUACCAUGUGGGACUAUGGGAGGGAGAAGCAAUGAGUUUUCUUUUUGCAUUUUGUUUACCUGCCUGCCCUAAUAAAAUGAACUCUACCCUGAGUAGUAGGUUACAUUUUAAAACCUUAAUGGAAAAAUUAAUGUCACCAGCACUUUAAAAUGGUUUUUGAUUUCACCCUAGGUAUUUACUAGAUGGUUUGACCAGGCAGUAUUUAAACUUGUUGUUUGGUUCAGUUGGGUUUUUUGGGUUGUGGACUGGACGGGACCAUCCUUUUGUCUCCCACUCAUUUCCCUAGUGUCACAGUCCUUGAUUGAUAGAAUGAACCAAGGAACAGCGACGGGCACCGCGAGGAGGAUGUACAGUAUUUAUUGAAGCAAAUAAAAGAUGGCAAGGAGAUGGAGGAAGCCAGAGAAAGAUGAGCUGUCAGGAGUUCUUCAAUGGCACAGCAAUUUCCUUCUGCAAAAACAAGGCUUUUGACACCGCUGCAAAAGGGUGAAAAGACUUUCUCUGGGAUGGUAUCUGACAUACUGUUAUUGCCAUCACUUGCUGCACUUUGUCUGCUAAUAGAUGUACACCAACAACCAGACAUACACAUGUAGGCUACAUAUUUUUGUGCCCACUUUUUGAAAGUCACAUUUCCAUUUCUCAGAUGGAAAUGAAAUUAAAGCAU